CCUACGGGAGGCAGCAGUAGGGAAUGUUCGGCAAUGGGGGGAACCCUGACCGAGCAACGCCGCGUGAACGAAGAAGUUAUUCGUAAUGUAAAGUUCUUUUAACAGGGAAGAAAGAGAAAUUGGACGGUACCUGAAGAAUAAGCACCGGCUAACGACGUGCCAGCAGCCGCGGUAAUACGUCGGGAGCGAGCGGUCUCGGGAAUGAUUGGGCGGACAGGGUGCGUAGAGGGCAGAGUAAGUCUUUUGUAAAAAUGCUGGGCUCAACCCAGUAGGGCAAAAGAUACUGCAAAGCUAGAGUAUGCCCGAGGCAAGUGGAACUACAUGUGUAGCGGUCAACUGCGUACAUAUUUGUA
rnacentral:rRNA from 1 species